rnacentral:rRNA from 1 species
AACGAACGCUGGCGGCGUGGAUAAGACAUGCAAGUCGGACGAGACUUUUCGUUGUAGCAAUACGAUGGAAAGUUUAGUGGCGAACGGGUGCUUAACACGUGGGCAACCUGCCAGGAAGUGGGGGAUAGCUCGCCGAAAGGCGAAUUAAUACCGCAUGUGCUUAGAGAGGACGUCCUUUCGAAAUUAAAGUCGGGGCAACCUGACGCUUCUUGUGGGGCCCGCGGCCUAUCAGCUAGUUGGUGAGGUAACGGCUCACCAAGGCUUUGACGGGUAGCUGGUCUGAGAGGACGACCAGCCACACUGGGACUGAGACACGGCCCAGACACCUACGGGUGGCAGCAGUCGAGAAUUUUUGACAAUGGGGGAAACCCUGAUCGAGCGACGCCGCGUGGAGGAUGAAGGUCUUCGGAUUGUAAACUCCUGUCAUUGGGGAACAAGGUGCAUACGUUAACUGCGUGUGCAUUGAUAGUACCCGAAGAGGAAGAGACGGCUAACUCUGUGCCAGCCGCCGCGGUAAGAC